GACCUUACCACUCGGUAAAAAACAACAAAUUUUUAAAGGCGUUGGUAACUAUCGUGAAAACGACUUUUUAAGAAGCAAAGGA
rnacentral:sRNA from 1 species